UACGUAGGGUGCGAGCGUUGUCCGGAAUUAUUGGGCGUAAAGAGCUCGUAGGCGGUUUGUCACGUCUGCUGUGAAAUCCCGAGGCUCAACCUCGGGCCUGCAGUGGGUACGGGCAGACUGGAGUGCGGUAGGGGAGAAUGGAAUUCCUGGUGCAGCGGUGGAAUGCGCAGAUAUCAGGAGGAACACCGAUGGCGAAGGCAGUUCUCUGGGCCGUAACUGACGCUGAGGAGCGAAAGCGUGGGGAGCGAACAGG
rnacentral:rRNA from 1 species